GUGGGGAAUCUUGCGCAAUGGGCGAAAGCCUGACGCAGCCAUGCCGCGUGAAUGAUGAAGGUCUUAGGAUUGUAAAAUUCUUUCACCGGGGACGAUAAUGACGGUACCCGGAGAAGAAGCCCCGGCUAACUUCGUGCCAGCAGCCGCGGUAAUACGAAGGGGGCUAGCGUUGCUCGGAAUUACUGGGCGUAAAGGGCGCGUAGGCGGACAGUUUAGUCAGAGGUGAAAGCCCAGGGCUCAACCUUGGAAUUGCCUUUGAUACUGACUGUCUUGAGUACGGGAGAGGUGAGUGGAACUCCGAGUGUAGAGGUGAAAUUCGUAGAUAUUCGGAAGAACACCAGUGGCGAAGGCGACUCACUGGCCCGUUACUGACGCUGAGGCGCGAAAGCGUGGGGAGCAAACAGGAUUAGAAACCCGGGUAGUCC
rnacentral:rRNA from 1 species